rnacentral:lncRNA from 1 species
AUGGCCUCGAAAGACUUGCUUAGUUGUGUUCACACUGAGGAUUACCCGAACAAAUUCAUCAGUGGGAGGAUAAAUGAGGAGCAGAGGAGGACGACGGGAUGUCCCUGGAGCAAGGGUAUAGUGAGAUGUUGUCGAUAUGAGACAGGUGGGACUGUUUUAGCCGCUCAGGUAGCUCAGCAGAGGGGUCUGGCUUGCAGCACAGCAGGAGGAACCCACCACGCAUUUCCCAGCUACGGCUCUGGGUGUUGUCUCCUCAGUCACUUAGCAGCUGCAGCCAAAUAUCUGAUGAGCAACUCUUCCAGCAAACGGAGGAUUCUGAUCGUGGAUUUAGACGUGCAUCUGUGGAAGCCCACCUACCAUGGCUUCUGGACACUUUUCGCCCAGAUUUGGUUUUAUAUGAUGCCGGCGUUGACCCUCACUGGGAGGAUGAGCUUGGGAGGCUUUCUCUGA